GACGAACGCUGGCGGCGUGCUUAACACAUGCAAGUCGAACGGAAAGGCCCUGCUUUUGUGGGGUGCUCGAGUGGCGAACGGGUGAGUAACACGUGAGUAACCUGCCCUUGACUUUGGGAUAACUUCAGGAAACUGGGGCUAAUACCGGAUAGGAGCUCCUGCUGCAUGGUGGGGGUUGGAAAGUUUCGGCGGUUGGGGAUGGACUCGCGGCUUAUCAGCUUGUUGGUGGGGUAGUGGCUUACCAAGGCUUUGACGGGUAGCCGGCCUGAGAGGGUGACCGGCCACAUUGGGACUGAGAUACGGCCCAGACUCCUACGGGAGGCAGCAGUGGGGAAUAUUGCACAAUGGGCGGAAGCCUAAUGCAGCAACGCCGCGUGCGGGAUGACGGCCUUCGGGUUGUAAACCGCUUUCGCUGUGACGAAGCGUGAGUGACGGUAAUGGGUAAAGAAGCACCGGCUAACUACGUG
rnacentral:rRNA from 1 species